GAUGAACGCUAGCGGCAGGCUUAACACAUGCAAGUCGAGGGGCAGCGCGGGAUAGCAAUAUCCUGGCGGCGACCGGCGGAAGGGUGCGUAACGCGUGAGCGACAUGCCCGUUGCCCGGGGACAACCGGUGGAAACGCCGACUAAUCCCCGAUGGGAUAUUGUGCCGCAUGGCACGAUAUUGAAAGUUACGGCGGCGACGGAUUGGCUCGCGUCCGAUUAGCUUGUUGGCGGGGUAACGGCCCACCAAGGCUGCGAUCGGUAGGGGUUCUGAGAGGAAGGCCCCCCACAAGGGGACUGAGACACGGCCCAUACUCCUACGGGAGGCAGCAGUGAGGAAUAUUGGUCAAUGGGCGGAAGCAUGAACCAGCCAUGCCGCGUGCGGGAAGGAGGCCCUAUGGGCUGUGAACCGCUUUUGCCUGGGGGCAAUAAGGGCGUCGCGCACGUCCGAUGAGAGUACCAGGCGAAUAAGCAUCGGCUAACUCCGUG
rnacentral:rRNA from 1 species